UCCACCCGAGACUCAGUGAAAUUGAACUCGCUGUGAAGAUGCAGUGUACCCGCGGCAAGACGGAAAGACCCCGUGAACCUUUACUAUAGCUUGACACUGAACAUUGAGCCUUGAUGUGUAGGAUAGGUGGGAGGCUUUGAAGCGUGGACGCCAGUCUGCGUGGAGCCGACCUUGAAAUACCACCCUUUAAUGUUUGAUGUUCUAACGUGGACCCGUAAUCCGGGUUGCGGACAGUGUCUGGUGGGUAGUUUGACUGGGGCGGUCUCCUCCUAAAGAGUAACGGAGGAGCACGAAGGUUGGCUAAUCCUGGUCGGACAUCAGGAGGUUAGUGCAAUGGCAUAAGCCAGCUUGACUGCGAGCGUGACGGCGCGAGCAGGUGCGAAAGCAGGUCAUAGUGAUCCGGUGGUUCUGAAUGGAAGGGCCAUCGCUCAACGGAUAAAAGGUACUCCGGGGAUAACAGGCUGAUACCGCCCAAGAGUUCAUAUCGACGGCGGUGUUUGGCACCUCGAUGUCGGCUCAUCACAUCCUGGGGCUGAAGUAGGUCCCAAGGGUAUGGCUGUUCGCCAUUUAAAGUGGUACGCGAGCUGGGUUUAGAACGUCGUGAGACAGUUCGGUCCCUAUCUGCCGUGGGCGCUGGAGAACUGAGGGGGGCUGCUCCUAGUACGAGAGGACCGGAGUGGACGCAUCACUGGUGUUCGGGUUGUCAUGCCAAUGGCACUGCCCGGUAGCUAAAUGCGGAAGAGAUAAGUGCUGAAAGCAUCUAAGCACGAAACUUGCCCCGAGAUGAGUUCUCCCUGAGACUUAGAGUCUCCUGAAGGAACGUUGAAGACGACGACGUUGAUAGGCCGGGUGUGUAAGCGCAGCGAUGCGUUGAGCUAACCGGUACUAAUGAACCGUGAGGCUUAACCUUACAACGCCGAAG
rnacentral:rRNA from 1 species